UCUUAGGUCGUGUGCAACAUCAAUAAAUUACCUUCGCGCCUCAGAAAUUCAUGCUUGGAAGUCGAAUUUACCAUUCACCACCGUGCUCACAGCGCUGCUAAAUCAACGGGAUCUUAAGCGCGACUUAAAGAAAACUCACCGGGUUGAAGUCGCUGCAAAUUGGAUUGUGAUGGUGGUGCCAUGGAAGAAGCAGAUGGUGAAACCGAGAUUGGAAGAGGUUGAAAACCGGAUCCUCACGUGAGUUAUUGCAGAAAAUUUCUUUCUUCUUCUUCGGUUGUUUUGUUGAUGGCGAUGAACAAAGUGGUGGAUGCGAGGUUGUUGUGGAUGGAACCAAGAGAUUUCGGUUGCCAAAUCCGGGAGUUUUUAUCGCCGAACUCCAACUUCCAAUUGCAGGAUUUGGAAUUCUAUUGCAGUGGCUGGAAUUUGGAAUUGCAGAAGGGAGAUGAAGAAGGUUGAGGACAUGUGCUGAGAAGUGAAGAAACUUCUUCUCAAUGUGAGUUUUUUUUUCUGAAAAUCAAUGAAAACCAAGAAGCACCAUUCUGAACCGAAGCAUCCUUAUAUAAGACUCAGAUUUUUGGUUUCGACACUCUCAGGGAAAUGCUAAAGUUAGUUACCAAAUUGGAAGUUAGUUAUUAGUUUCUGUUAGGUUAGUUAUUAAGUUGGUUGUUAAGUUGGUUAGUUGUAAACUCUUCUGUUAUGAAUUUCACUUGUAAUUAAAAUCAAAGCAUUUGUUAAAGCUACAUUGAAUUGGAACUUAGGUGAAGUGCUACUGCUAGCUGUAAAUGCAGACUGGAAUUCUAUUGUGUGAAUUGAUUGAGAUGCGAAAUGAAAUUGGUUUCAGAAUGAAUUUGAAGUUA